rnacentral:rRNA from 1 species
UGGGGAAUAUUGCGCAAUGGCCGCAAGGCUGACGCAGCGACGCCGCGUGGGGGAUGAAGCAUUUCGGUGUGUAAACCCCUGUUGCUCGGGACGAACAACCCUUUUCGAGGGGUCUGACGGUACCGAGUGAGGAAGCACCGGCUAACUCUGUGCCAGCAGCCGCGGUAAUACAGGGGAUGCAAGCGUUAUCCGGAAUUAUUGGGCGUAAAGCGUCCUGAGGUGGCUUACCCAGUCGACUGUGAAAGCUCA